UUGACCUCGGAUCAGGUAGGAUUACCCGCUGAACUUAAGCAUAUCAAUAAGCGGAGGAAAAGAAACCAACAGGGAUUGCCCCAGUAACGGCGAGUGAAGCGGCAACAGCUCAAAUUUGAAAUCUGGCCCUCGGGUCCGAGUUGUAAUUUGGAGAGGAUGCUUUUGGCGCGGCGCCGUCCGAGUUCCUUGGAACAGGACGCCAUAGAGGGUGAGAGCCCCGUACGGGCGGCCGCCUAGCCUUUGUAAAGCUCCUUCGACGAGUCGAGUAGUUUGGGAAUGCUGCUCAAAAUGGGAGGUAAAUUUCUUCUAAAGCUAAAUACCGGCCAGAGACCGAUAGCGCACAAGUAGAGUGAUCGAAAGAUGAAAAGCACUUUGAAAAGAGGGUUAAAAAGUACGUGAAAUUGUUGAAAGGGAAGCGCCUGUGACCAGACUUGCGGCCCGUGGAUCAUCCGGUGUUCUUCACCGGUGCACUCCGCGGGCUGCAGGCCAGCAUCGGUUUUCCUAGGGGGAUAAAGGUCGCGGGAACGUAGCUCCCUCGGGAGUGUUAUAGCCCGUGGCGUCAUGCCUCUGGGGGGACCGAGGACCGCGCUUCGGCAAGGAUGCUGGC
rnacentral:rRNA from 1 species